rnacentral:misc_RNA from 1 species
GGGCGGAGGGGGGUGCGGGUGGAGCCGAGGCGGGCUUUACCGGUUUUCUUCUGGGAGUAGGGUUUGCGGCCGCCACCGCGGACCUCGGCGCGGGUGAGGGUGGAGGCGGUGCCGCGGCGCUUGUUCUGCUGGUCCGUGAUGAUGCCGCGGUGUACCACAGCGCGGGCGGUGUCGGGAGGGGCGGAGCGGAGGUCGAGGGAGGCGGAGCCGACGGUGUCUCCGGUGAAGGAGAGGAUGGGAAGAGUGGCAAGGGAGGAGCGGAUGGCGGGGAAGGGACGGCGGAGGGGGGUGAGGAUGGGAAGGGUGAGCUUGGGGGAUGGGUGGGAGGAG